UUCCAGACUCCUACGGGAGGCAGCAGUGAGGAAUAUUGGUCAAUGGGCGGGAGCCUGAACCAGCCAAGCCGCGUGAGGGAAGAAGGUACAGCGUAUCGUAAACCUCUUUUGUCAGGGAACAAAGGCGGGGACUAGUCCCCGGAUGAGGGUACCUGAAGAAAAAGCAUCGGCUAACUCCGUGCCAGCAGCCGCGGUAAUACGGAGGAUGCGAGCGUUAUCCGGAUUUAUUGGGUUUAAAGGGUGCGCAGGCGGCCUGUUAAGUCAGCGGUAAAAGCCCGGGGCUCAACCCCGGCCUGCCGGCGGAACUGGGUGCCUUGAGUGGGCGAGAAGUAUGCGGAAUGCGUGGUGUAGCGGUGAAAUGCAUAGAUAUCACGCAGAACUCCGAUUGCGAAGGCAGCAUACCGGCGCUCAACUGACGCUCAUGCACGAAAGCGUGGGUAUCGAACAGGAUUAGAUACCCCAGUAU
rnacentral:rRNA from 1 species